rnacentral:rRNA from 1 species
UACGUAGGGUGCAAGCGUUGUCCGGAAUUAUUGGGCGUAAAGAGCUCGUAGGCGGUUUGUCGCGUCUGCUGUGAAAACUCAGGGCUUAACUCUGAGCUUGCAGUGGGUACGGGCAGACUAGAGUGCGGUAGGGGAGACUGGAAUUCCUGGUGUAGCGGUGAAAUGCGCAGAUAUCAGGAGGAACACCGGUGGCGAAGGCGGGUCUCUGGGCCGUAACUGACGCUGAGGAGCGAAAGCAUAGGGAGCGAACAGG